AAUGAGUAGUCUAAAAAUGAAUGGUUGAAAAUAAAAAUCUCAUAAAAAAUAAUGAUAAAAGGCUUAAAUUAAGGAUCAGAUGUACUGAUUUUACUCUAAAUAGUGAAAAAAAAAAUUGUAUAAAAAUUUUAUCAGAUUUAGAUUGUUUUACACCGUUAAAUUCACAAAAGCAUCACAUCUAUCAUUAAAAUUGUCAAUUUUGAGAGCUUUUGAUUACUAGCAAAAUGAUGUCGAAAAAUUAUGAAAUUUAGUUUCCAAAUA
rnacentral:lncRNA from 1 species